CAUCUCUCACACUUGAUGAUUACAUCUUGUUAUUUCUAACAUGUACACCAUCGGGCGAUUGCUUUAUUAGAAAUAUAUUUACACAAUAUGAUCAGAGCAACAUCAAGGAGUCGGAUGCUGGUGCACAGAUUCUCCUCAAAUUCCACAUGCAACCCUUGUAGAGAAGAACGACAUAUUUUUCUUAGGUGAUUUUUGAUUGAGCUCCUACAGAAAAACUCAAAGAAAUCAUGAGGAGCAUGGAGCCAUGCAAACUAAUUAUAGUAAAUCAUGAGAGAAGAAGCCUCUCAACCUACUACAGGGAAUCGAGUCAACAUUAAUUCGUGUAAGAAUUAAACCGUAAUGUCGAUCAACAACCCAGUAGUUGAUAAAAUAACCCUGACACAACCCAUUAAUACAAUAUAUAGUCACGUGAAGUAGACUGAGAUUGUGUAGAUAUCAUGAUCUACGAACCGUAUCUAUGAAUAUUGAUUGCAAAGUCACAAACAGAACCUCCUGACAUUACAAAACAAAUGUUUCAUCAACAGAAACUAUAGCGAAUGCCAAUUGGAUUAUAUAAGUAAGACAGAGACAUCGAAAAAAAAGAAAACAUAAUUCAAAGAGCAUAUAUUCUAUUAUCUUACUUGACAUCACAGAGAAUGCAAGUCAAAGAUAUUGCGAUACAUCUUACCCUUCUAUAAAUUGACUGCAAGGCAGAAUCCCCAGCAAAAUAUACAUAAUGAAUUGCUCCUAUGGUCCAAGUAUUGCAUAAAUAAUUAUAUAUAGACUAUUCAACAGUGAGCAAAAACUUGGCAUGUACUACCAAAAUCCCUUUGCUAUGGAGCUUAGUCUGCAUGUCUAUUCGUCUUUCUGUAAAUCAGUUGUGGCCAGGGUGUGCUGACAGCUCACCAGCCUCUCCCCGUUUACCAAUAAAAUCAAAGCAGCUCAAAGCAAUAAAAAAAUAACAUAGAUAUAUCUACCUGAUGUAAUUGCUUGUAACUCCAGAGUGUUGGUAGAGUCGAGAAGAGAACACCCAG
rnacentral:lncRNA from 1 species